rnacentral:rRNA from 1 species
UACGAAGGGGGCUAGCGUUGUUCGGAAUCACUGGGCGUAAAGCGCACGUAGGCGGAUGUGCCAGUCAGGGGUGAAAUCCCGGAGCUCAACUCCGGAACUGCCUCUGAUACAGCACGUCUUGAGUUCGAGAGAGGUGGGUGGAAUUCCUAGUGUAGAGGUGAAAUUCGUAGAUAUUGGGAAGAACACCGGUGGCGAAGGCGGCUCUCUGGACCGAGACUGACGCUGAGGCGCGAAAGCGUGGGGAGCAAACAGG